rnacentral:lncRNA from 1 species
ACUCAUCAGAAAGCAGUAUGUUGAAUCAGUAACACCUCUUUCUGUAGUUUAUCAGGAGAGACCAUGAAAUACAGUACCUUUUUUUUUUUUUUUUAAAUUCAAGACACCUAGUUCUAAGACCAUGUCCAUAAAUCAUUGUCUUUGACCCUUGCAACCUCAUUUCACUACCCUAGAGGGGGAAAAAGACCUGCAUUAUUUCCUCAAGAAAUCAAGAAAAUCAAAGUCAAUUUCCUUUUGAACUCUCCUUCUAAGAUAUCAAGGAGAAGUAAUCAUCUUCUUACAAAUCCUCCCACAAACUUCUUUUUAACGCUCGCCAGAGACCUGAACAAACUCCUAUUUGACACUCCGAAUGCCUUUCCUCGUACAGAAUUUAAUCGACAGUCUGACCUUCAAAAAGUGGUCCUGAUUAAAUUGCACAAAUAUGUGUCCUUUCCAGGAAAAAGUGGUAGCAAAGAAUCUCUGUUACUUCUUAAAGUUUCUUCUCUGGAAGAAAGAAAAAGCAAUUUAUUUUUCAAUGUAUUAAUUUAGUUAACCAGCACAUAUUGAAACCCUACCCUAUGUUGGACCCUAGACUAGCCCUGAAGAGAGAGGUAAAAGGAAAAAAGCCAUAUUUUCUGACUCAUCUGGAACUUCUGGUGCCAGUCUUCAGCAGUGGCCAAGCUCAGUCUAAAGUCUGAGUCCCCAAAUGCUUGGCCUUUGACUUCUUUGUUUCCCAAUACCAAAAAGUGUUUCUGAUAUACUGAAUCUCAGUGUUUGUGAGAUCCAGAACAAACUGUGUAGCCUUAUAAAGGAUCCCUUCCAGCCUCAACAAAAGCAAAAUAUUUGGGUUCAGUUCAUCUGGGAUUCAUCUGGGGCUCUGUCUUUUAAAUACAUGCAGAGGAGAUUCUCCACGUGGAAAACUUAACAUGUCAUUAUGUGCUGUUUUCUCCACAUAUUGUUUGUGUACUCACUCAGGUAUCAAAAAAUGGAUCGGAGAAAUUGUAACAUGGCUAAACUAAAAUUGUAGAGAGACUUCAGUCAAAAUAUUUAUAUGCGUUUCUAGGUGUGAAGUUUAUUGCUGAGAUUAUAUUUUUCACUAAAAAUAUCUAGUUAAUUCUGUUGGACUCAUUUUGAUAUUCACUGUGUAAAUGGAAUACCAUUAUGAAAACAAUUACAAUUUUUAAAUUGUAACCAAUUACUAACUUUAGUAAACCAAUUACUAAACUUCUAUGUUUGACCUUAGGAGGGAUAAUACGUAUCCCAAACUAAAAGCCUAGGCAUAUUUGCCCUCUGCAGUUUUCCUGGGCACUAAGACAUGUCCUUUUCUUUGUGCCCAAGAGAAGGAGAACAGAAAAUUGUAAGGUGGCAUGUUUUCCAGAUAGUUACACUGAAGAAUGAGGCUUGCAGAUAAUCAGAAAAGUGUGAUUACAACCAGCCCUGAUUGUAGAUAGCCUAGAAUUUUAUAUAUUUCUUUAAAAACUUUCAAGAACUGGGAGUGGCUCAGCGAUUAAUGAACCCAACCAGGAUCCAUGAGGAUGUAGGUUCGAUCCCUGGUCUCAUUCAGUGGGUUAAAAAUCCGGCUUUGCUGUGGCUGUGGUGUAGGCCGGAAGCUGUAGCUCUAAAUCGAUUUGAUUGCUAGCCUGGGAACUUUCAUAUGCUGUGGGUGCAGUCCUAAAAACCAAACAAAAAAAGAAACAAACAAACUUCAAGAACUUUGAUCUCGAUGUUUAUAUGAAAGUAGUCUCUGAAUAAUGACACAAUGAGAAUUCGAUUGCAGAUUAUUGCUAGUUACCUCAUACACAUGGAGAUUAAUAAGCAGAAGUAGAGGAAGAUUGCCUAUGUAUUAUAUAAAACACACCACAAUAAAAAUACCUCUCAAAGGCUAUAGGUAGUUUGAAUUAUCAGGUUAAACAAAAUACAAUUAUAAAAUCAUCUUUAAAUAUUCUUCCAGUUUUUCUAAUUAUGAUAUGGUGGAUCUGCUGCUUAAUAUUAAACAUUAUCCACACAAUUAAGAAUAUGUUACUAUCAGUGAGAUAUUUGUUGAAGUUGAAUAUUCAAAGCAAAUAUAUCAAAACAGUAGGCUCUCUACCAUAAAACACCAUGGAAUAGAUAUUUAAUUUUUCUUGUUGCCAAAAUAAUUUCUUCAUGUAGUUGUGUCUAGUUUUAUUAGUUAUGUUUUUUUGUCUAAAUAUACUGAUAAGUUAUAUCCUUUUCAUUAAUAUGUCAAAAGCAUUGGAAGAACACUGAAGCAUAUUAUCCACUACAAUAAAGAAUAUUGACCCUUCGACUAUUAGAGAUAAUGUUAAAGAACACAACUCCGGGAGUUCCCGUUGUGGCACAUCGGAAACUAAUCCAACUGGGAACCAUGAGGUUUCAGGUUCGAUACCUGGCCUCGCUCAGUGGGUUGGGGAUCCAGUGUUGCUCUGAUCUGUGGUGUAGGUCGCAGAUGUGGCUUGGAUCCUGCGUUGCUGUGGCUGAGGCACAGGUCAACAGCUGUAGCUCUGAUUAGACCCCUAGCCUGGGAACCUCCAUGUACCGUGGGUGCGGCCCUAAAAACCAAAAAAAAAAAAAAAGCAACUUCAAUAUGAGUCAGACUCAUUUAGCUCAAGUUUCAGCUCUGAUUCUUCCUCAAACAGGACCGUCUAUAUAUUAUUUAAUCUCUCAUGAUUCUUCCCCCUUUCCUAUUAAAAUGGAGAUAAAUCUCGUAGAGUUUUCCUAAGGGUUAACAUCUGCAAAUUAUAGGCAUUGUUAUACUGUAAUUUUAAAAAGAAGCCUAGUUGGCAUAAAUUAAUUUUUACUAGAAAUAAAUACACUUGUAGAUAAGCCCAAUUUAUGAUAAUUUCAAGGAACCUUUAGAUAGAGUUAGCCUUGGGAGCUUUAUCCUAUUCAGCCAGCAAAGUAACUCAGCUGAGUGCAUCAAAUAAUGGCACUUGGACUUGAAAUGUAUUUGCUUUGGAAAAGUUUAAAUGGACUUUCCCUUUUAAUUACAGUUUUUCUCAAUUCUCUCAUAUGCUUUUUAUUUCCUAUCCCAGGUUGAUAGAGCUGAUUGAUUUGAUACCUAGAGCAGCUUUCUCUCCUAAUUCUUAAUGUUCUUCUAGGUAUUAUCUACUUUGAAAUAUCUUUCAGGCUUAGACUUUCCCAGGAAAGAAUCUAAAUGUAUAUAUAUAUAAUAUAUAACAAUUACAGGGUUCAGGAAGACUGCAUGAGUCAAAGGUAUACGCUUCCUAAUGGAACUGAUUUUUUAAAGGAAUUUGAAAAUUUGGAAGGGAUUUAUAAAGUUCAUGUGGUCUCAUCUGCCACUUAUGGGGUCAUGCUUUUAUAACUUUCCAUAAAUAAAUGCCCAAGUAUUCCAAUCAGGACUUUUUCAGCAAUAAAAACUAUGUAUUUUCAAUUGAGUGCUCACAUAUCUUAACCAAAUACUAAAAAGUAAGCAAAACAAGACAAAACAAAACAAAACAAAAUACCUAUUCUAUUAUACAACUCAAGCAAGGGAAAUAUCUUAAAAUUUCAACAUCUCUAUGAAUUCUAUUAAGUAUUAAAAAGAAUCUUACUAAAUAAAUUUAAAUGUUUCAGGUAGUGAGCCAUGCUGAUGUUAAUAAAAAGUAAGAUUUUUUUUUUUUUUUUUGGCCGCACCCAUAGCAUAUGUAAAUUCCCAGGUCAGAGAUUGAAUCCAAGCCACAGCCAUGACCUAUGCAACAGGAGCGGCAAUUACGCUGGGCUGUGGAUUAAAUUCAUGCCUCAGCAGUGACUAGAGCUGUGGCAGUUGGAUUCUUAACCCACUGUGCACAGCAGGAAUUCCCAGUAAGAACUUUAUAUCAUUGUGUCAAUAGAUUAUUUACAUCAUCCUGGGUGACACAGAUAAAUUGACUUGCAAACCAAUCAAAAACUGUGAGAAUAGAGUUCCUGUUGUGACUCGGCAGGGGCAGGUAAAAAACCCGACUAGGAUCCAUGAGGAUGCUGGUACAAUACCUGGCCUCACUUGGUGGGUUAAGGAUCCAGCAUUGCCCUGAGCGGCAGCAUAGGGUACAGAUGCAAUUCAAAUCCUGUGUUUCUGUGGCUAUAGUGUAGGCUGGCAGCUGCAGCUCUGAUUCAACCCCUAGCCUGGGAACUUCCAUAUGCUGCAGGUGGAGCCCUAACUAGAAAAAAACAAAAACAAACAAACAAAAACAAAUAGAUUGAUACAAAAAAACUAGAAGAGAGAAAACAGAAUGUGGUCAGAAAAUUUCAUGACAAACAGUGAAUAUACCUCAGGACUUUGCAUCACAAAGUCAUAAAGUGAAAAAUGUACAUUGAUUUUUUUUUUUUCCUCUCAGCUCACCUAGAGAGAUACGACAUCAAAUAUUUCUCUAGAAGUGAAACAUUCCAUUGCUUUUAGCAUAUGAAACUGGGAGUAAAACAUAGUGAUUUACUAAGGAUGUUGUAAACAUGCAUCAGAGCUAUUGCUCAUCAACAAAGAAAUCAAGGAACCGAAAAAAAAAUCACAGCACUCCUUAAAUUAUUAACUAGAUCACUGUGUUAACUAUAAUGUGAUAUGCAGUUGAAAGCUAACUGGUAAAAAUACAGCUAAAGUGUCUAAUUCAUUUAAAAAUUAGUUUUCUCACAGCUAUGAUAUCAUGAUGUGCUGGUCACUGAACAACUUCUCUUUUUCACAACUGUAACAGAGUGUUAAUAUUUGGGGUAAGACCUGAGAUGUUAGGAUCUUGUCACAAAAUUGAAAUGAAUUGAGACUUUUCUAGUAAGAUGUUGCUAUAUGUAACUUGUGGCUUAACUGUCAUUUUAUUCAGCAGUUGGAAAUGUGAGGGUUCCAACAAGAAUCAAUUCACUUCCCCUUUAUUCUCAGAGUUAAAUAGGGAACUGUCAUAUCAUUGCUUCCAAAUGAAUGCUAAAAUUACUUAAGUACGCAUGCCUACAUAGAUAUUUGUACUGCUCCUGGCACAUAUGAAUCUCCUCCUAGUGCCAUCCUGCAACAAGCUCUGUCUGUAGUCAUUUUGUGAGAAUUCUUAUUUCCCUUUGUUCAAGCUAAGUUCCUCCAGGAAUGACCUUGGAUGGUGCUGAGUCAAGAAAAGAGAACUAAGAAGUUCUCUGCCAUCCCUAACCUUUACCAAUCUUGGGAUCAUGUCCAGGAUAUUGGUUAUAAAUAUAUUAUUAGUAACUCAGAAAACAAAAUACUUUGAUUCAGAAUGAGUCUCUGAAUCAGACAAAGCUCUUUGAAAUUCAGAGUAAAUAUGUGGUUGUUAUGUAUCUCAUGUUUCUCUUUUGAAAAAUAAGGAUAAUAAUUGAAUGAGAGAUAUUGAUAUGAAAAAUAUGUGACAGAGAAAAAUUAAAAAUACAGAAAAAGCCCACAGUAUAUGUAGCCAGAAGAACAACAAAAUAUUAAUUUUUUUUUAUAGGUUUCAAAGCUGAGGCUACCUAUGCAAUAGUACAUACAGUUGGAAUAGGGGCCUGAAAAGAAUAUCAUAGUGUGGUUACCUGCUCUGGUUUAGCACUGCUCAAAAGGUAACAUAAUGGGACUUGAAUCAAGCAUCUUUGAUACCAUAAUCAUUUUCCUGACUAUUGAGAAUGAGACUCUACAUCUGCAAAGUGGCCAUGGCUUAAAACAUCUCUUUAUGGGCAAAUUAAACCUGGAAAACCUAGGAAAGUAAAAUCACUUGAAGAGGAUAAGGAAUAUAAUAAGUUAGAGAAAUAUUUUAUGUCCCCAAUACUCUUUAUUACAUUUUAAAUAAUCUUCUUGUAAAAGAAGAAAGUUCAGUGGAAAAGAACACUGGACAUUCUAAAAAUUAGAAAAACUAAUUUGUCCAUAUGGCUUUGACAGCAGAAUAAGAAGACAUAAAACACAUAUGAAGAAAUCCUUUUAUUAGAAUAGCAAAGCUAUAGCUGACAUUUUCCAAUAAUUUACUCUUAGGGACAUAGUGUUUAAAAAAUUUUAAAGCUUAUGAGAAAAAGCGAUAAAAGUGAAGUAUUGUACAAAAUUUUUGUGGAGGACAAUAAGGAAAUGUUAAGAAAAUAUUAAGAAAAUAUUUUUUCUUGGAGUUCCCGUCGUGGCACAGUGGAAACAAAUUGGACUAGGAACCAUGAGGUUGUGGGUUCAAUCCCUGGCCUCGCUCAGUGAGUUAAGGAUCCGGUGUUGCUGUCAGCUGUGUGUAGGUCACAGAUGCAGCUUGGAUCUGUGUUGCUGUGACUGUGGUGUAUGUAGGUCAGCGGCUACAGCUCUGUUUUGCCCCCUAGCCUAGGAA